UGUGAGUCUAGCCAUUCCAUACAAUGGUCCGUGGUCUCGGACAUAUCUCCUUUAAUGUCAUCACAUAUUAACGUUUUGGCCAUUUUAUAAAGCGGGCCGAGCGGCUUGAUAGAGCCGGGGAGAGAGAGACUUGACAUGUGGUCGAUGAUGUCUUUCUCCAAGGAGUAGAAACUGUCGUUUGAUAGAGCCGGGGAGAGAGAGACUUGACAUUUGGUCGAUGAUGUCUUUCUCCAAGGAGUAGAAACUGUCGACGAGAACAGCGAAAGGCUUGUGAAGACGUUUGAUCUGAUCAAUGAUCACUUCUCGCAAAGCGGAAUAAGGAGUUAAAGGGUGAAUGAAA
rnacentral:lncRNA from 1 species